ACGUAAUAGAUACCCUGGUAGUCCACGCCCUAAACGAUGUCUACUAGUUGUUGGUGGAGUAAAAUCCAUGAGUAAACGCAGCUAAACGCGUGAAGUAGACCGCCUGGGGAGUACGGUCGCAAGAUUAAAACUCAAAGGAAUUGACGGGGGCCCGGCACAAGCGGUGGAUUAUGUGGAUUAAAUUCGAUGCAACGCGAAAAACCUUAACCUGGCCUUGACAUGCCACUAACGAAGCAGAGAUGCAUUAGGUUGCCCGUAACGGGAAAGUGGACACAGGUGCUGCAUGGCUGUCGUCAGCUCGUGUCGUGAGAUGUUGGGUUAAGUCCCGCAACGAGCGCAACCCUUGCCAUUAAUUGCCAUCAUUUAGUUGGGCACUUUAAUGGGACUGCCGGUGACAAACCGGAGGAAGGU
rnacentral:rRNA from 1 species